rnacentral:rRNA from 1 species
UGUCUUUUUGAAGAUAAUUUAAAGUCUAAUCUGCCCACUGAUUUAAUAUUAAAGGGCUGCAGUAUAUUGACUGUACAAAGGUAGCAUAAUCAUUAGUCAUUUAAUUGAUGACUUGUAUGAAAGAUUGGAUGAAAUAUAGACUGUCUCUUAUUUAUUUGUGGAAUUUAAUUUUUUAAUUAAAAAGUUAAAAUGAUUUAAAAAGACGAGAAGACCCUAUAGAGUUUUAUAAAUAAUUUAAUAAAGAUUAUUUAUAAAUAAAUUAAUUAAAAUUAACUUAUUUAUUGUGUUGGGGUGAUAGAAAAAUAUAUUUAACUUUUUUUUUUAUAGGGUACAUUUAUAAGUGAUUUGAUGAUCCAAUAAUAUUGAUUAUAAGAAAAAAUUACCUUAGGGAUAACAGCGUAAUUUUUUUUUUUAGUUCAUAUAAGAAAAAAAGUUUGCGACCUCGAUGUUGGAUUAAGAUAAAAUUUAAAUGCAGAAG